GCAGCCUUGCACGGCGGCGCAUCCCGUAGCAGCAACUACAAGUCAACCCCGCCAAGAACGAAACCGGAGCUAUCGAUCCAAAUAUCUCGAGCUACAGGACGUAUUUUUGAGUGAUUCUUGAACCAGUGAGCUCACCUUGAAGUUCUGAAAAACUCUCCAGAAGGAAUCGAAGCGUUUCGUUGAAGUUUUUACGUCGAAACUCAAGCUCGCCGGAUUCUGGAAUUUUUCCGACCACCGAAGCUUUCGAUCGGUAUAUCUCGAGCUACAGACCAUAUUUUUCUGUGAUUCUUGAACCAGUGAGUUCUUCUUGAGUUUCUUAACAACUCUCUAGAAGGAAUCGAAGCCUGAAAUUGAAGUUUUGACGUCGAAAUCAAGCCUUGCCGGAUUCUGCAAAAUUCUGGAGUUUUUCCGACCACCGAAGCUUUCGAUCGGUAUAUCUCGAGCUACAGACCAUAUUUUUCUGUGAUUCUUGAACCAGUGAGUUCUUCUUGAGUUUCUUAACAACUCUUAAGAAGGAAUCGAAGCCUUAAAUUGACGUUUUUACGUCGAAUUGGAGCUCGCCGUUUUCUGCAGUUUCUCGCCGGUUUCUGGAAAAUUCCGGCCACCUUCAUACUGUUCAAGGUGAUUGACGGUCUCCCUUGGGUGAAAGAUUUCGGUGUGUAUUGUGUUGAAUUGAAGACGCAGCGGGAAUAUCGAGCGGGUAAUCCUACAGGACAGGAGAACCAGGA